UGGCUCUCGCAUCGAUGAAGAACGCAGCGAAAUGCGAUAAGUAAUGUGAAUUGCAGAAUUCAGUGAAUCAUCGAAUCUUUGAACGCACCUUGCGCCCCUUGGUAUUCCGAGGGGCAUGCCUGUUUGAGUGUCGCGUUAAUCUCUCAUCCCCGUUCUGUCACAGGAGCGGGUGGUGGAUUUGGACCGUGCUGCGUGUUUACGUGCGGCUCGUCUUGAAAUGCAUCGGCUGGUUUUCGGACCUCUCCGUGGUGUGAUAAUUGUCAUCGCCGCUGUGGUUUCGUGCCGGCCUGGUCGCCUUCGGGCAACAGCUUCUUGCGCUUUGACCUCAAAUCAGGUAGGACUACCCGCUGA
rnacentral:misc_RNA from 1 species